GACCGUUCUGGUGGCCUAGUGGUUAGAGCGUCCGCCUCGGAUGCGGAAGGUUGUGGGUUCGAACCCCGGCUGAGUCA